AUUCAGCUUGUACACAUCUUCCAAUGAAACAUUAUUGAGUGGAGAUACAACCGAUGUACUAAGACUAGCUUUAGCUUCUUUUCCAUCUGGUGCUGAUUCUAAACUAGCUGCACUGAGUCUUUGAUUAUUAACAAAUGUACCAUUACUGCUACGUGUGUCUUGUAAAAAAAACUUUCCACCUGAAUACCAUAGCAGCGCAUGGUUUCUGGAUAAUACUUUACAAUCAAAAAUGGCAUUAUUUGGUGUAGCUCUGGCUCUUGCCACAGAGCGACCAAUUUUAACAGGUUGCUCCAGUGUCAAUGUACGUUCUUCAAAAGGGAAAACUGGCAUUUUGUACCCACUCACCACUGGCUACAACCAUAGCCGAUGUAAAAUCCAAAGAAUGGCAAGUUUUUCAAGAAAAGUUUAAAACUCGUAUGAAAAAGGAAUUAUUGAUACAUAAUGAAGAAGAGGGAAUUUGUGAAAUUUCAAAGUCACGCGUUUUAAUAUCAUCGAAUAUUUUUACUAUCGUGUUGGUUUGUCACAGAAGUUACUAUUCACACUCGAUCCUAUAAUUUGAACAUGAGGAUCAUACAUCGACUUUCCAAAACUUAAAAUUUGUCAUAAUAAUAAGUGACAUACGAAUUUACAUAUUUUUGCAAUAAAAGAACUUCCGUUACUAUCUCAACAAUUUUGUGGUGUUUCUUUUUCCAUUUAUCGUAAAAUUCCUCGUACAAACGUUACAGUUACACUGUAUUCGUCAAUUACUCGAGUCCAGAAUAUUCCUUGGUUGGUUAAUUAAACAAACGAACGUUUCAUCAACAAUAUAAUCAAAUCGAAUAUUCCGAACGCAUUAAGAAUAGCCAAAAGAUAUGUUUCUUCGAGUAAGUAGCAGUGAGCGUACGCUUUCACACUUUCGUCCUUCGUACCAGUUCCCUUGCACUUUGAUGUCUUCGACGAUACAUUCAAGGAAGUUCAUUAGAAAAGUGUGAAAUACACAAUGCGUAUUCAACAAUACUCGAACAUGAUAAACCGAGUGAUGUUGUGAUCAACUAGAUUAAGAUCAAAUAUAUUAUUCUCGAACUACUGCAUUACUGUAUUAAGAUACAAGCGGUCCACAUUCCUUUAACUCAGUACUUUUCAGUUCCGCGUUUCGCUGUUUAUCGACCGACGGCAGUAUAGUCAUCUAUACGACUACAACGGUGUAGCAAAUUUAAAGUAGACACUUGGGCGUGCUACAUCGCGACAGUCAUUCACGAGAGAAAGAAACGUAUUUAAAGAGGGACAUUUAAAAAGGCAUUUAUAACCAAAGAACCAAUG
rnacentral:misc_RNA from 1 species